AUUAAUCAAUAUUUGACAGAGAAAUACAUCAAACAUCCCAUUUCCUAAAGCAUAUUGGUAAUACACUCCACUUAAGAUGAUCAUAGCCUUCUCAAUUUCUAACUUAAGGACUCUCGAUGUGUUCCCUAAUUGUCUUGUAUCUAGGCACUCACUGGCUGUUACCUAUUAGUGCAACAUGCAUGUUUCGCCUUCCCCCCCUGCUAAUAAGAUUUUCCAG
rnacentral:misc_RNA from 1 species